CAACUUUUCUUUCUAACUUUAAUCAUCUGUAAAGUUGUUUUACAUGCAAUCAUGCUAGCUAGCAAUAUUUUGACAGGUCUGCACCUGCUUCACCGGCAAUGACUGGUGAUGCAGGUAAUUAUCACAUGCAUACUCUCCCUCACUUGGGGCUCUAUUCAAUCACAUCCGCAUAGCGGUUGUUUUGGUUGUGUCCGAUGUGGAACUGUAUUAAAGCUGUCAAAUUAACAAGCGGCUCCUGGCGUUAUACCUAAAACGCACAUUGCCGUUGGCGGCAGGGAGUCGCAUGAACAGAAAUCUCAUGCAGCCCUGUUUACAAGUUAGAACAGUGGAAUUUGAGAUGUAAUCUACACCUCGUUUAGGCUGAUAUAAAUCCUCAUUUAGUUACAUUUUUAAUCUGAGCGUCAUUUAUAUAUAACCUACACUUUUUCGUUUACGGUGUAGAUUCGUGACAAUGAUCAGGAGCCGCUGCUUGCCGAUUUGACAGAUCCAACAUCAGACACCGAUAAAACAUAAGCAAUGUUGGUGUCAGCUAUCGCUGGUUAAUGCUUGAUCUGAUUGAAUCUAGGCCUUAUACUCAUUCACUCUGUUUACUUGUAUGAUUAUUGUCAGUUAAGAAAAUUAUGCCUCUUUUAGAUCUGCCACCCCCAGUAGUUCAGCUGUAGUCACAGCAGUCCUCAGCUGUGGUAUUUAAUUUACCGGCUGCACCAAUUCUUACUUCACUGGCUUUGAAGGGAGAAACUUGAGGAUUCCCAACUGGAUACAGAUCUGCAAUGCACUCCACUGCCUGACAGCCUCACCCAGAAGUGCAUACACUGGGCCUAUCAAGACUGACAAAGCAGAGAUGGGUGGGUGACAAGGAAACUUAAAACGCAACACUCCCUCUCUCUCUGUCACACACACAUAAUCCCCAAUGUAAAUACAUGUAAAUGUAAAUGUAAAUACAUUUUAUUUGAGGAAAAUGUCUGCAAUAAAGUUUGUUCACAGUUAA